CUUUGCGGCACGAGUUGUAGAUUGCAGGUUGGAGUCUGUGUGGAAGGCGGUGUCCAAGUCCCUUGGAACAGGGCGCCCAGGAGGGUGAGAGCCCCGUGGGAUGCCGGCGGAAGCAGUGAGGCCCUUCUGACGAGUCGAGUUGAUUGGGAAUGCCCCCUCCAAGCGGGUGGUAAAUUCCCUCUAAGGCUAAAUACUGGCGAGAGACCGAUAGCGAACAAGUACUGUGAAGGAAAGAUGAAAAGCACUUUGAAAAG
rnacentral:rRNA from 1 species